UACGUAGGGGGCAAGCGUUGUCCGGAAUCAUUGGGCGUAAAGAGCGUGUAGGCGGCUCGGUAAGUCCGCUGUGAAAGUCCAGGGCUCAACCCUGGAAUGCCGGUGGAAACUGUCGAGCUAGAGUCCGGAAGAGGCGAGUGGAAUUCCUGGUGUAGCGGUGAAAUGCGCAGAUAUCAGGAGGAACACCAAUGGGCGAAGGCAGCUCGCUGGGACGGUACUGACGCGUGAGACGCGAAAGCGUGGGGAGCAAACAGG
rnacentral:rRNA from 1 species